rnacentral:rRNA from 1 species
UACGGAGGAUCCAAGCGUUAUCCGGAUUUAUUGGGCUUAAAGGGCGCGUAGGCGGCUUAUUAAGUCAGGGGUGAAAGACGGUGGCUCAACCAUCGCAGUGCCUUUGAUACUGAUGAGCUUGAAUACACUUGAGGUAGGCGGAAUGUGACAAGUAGCGGUGAAAUGCAUAGAUAUGUCACAGAACACCAAUUGCGAAGGCAGCUUACUAAGGUGCAAUUGACGCUGAGGCACGAAAGCGUGGGGAUCAAACAGG